UUUCUUUUGUACUGCUGUGUGAGCACUUCCUAGGCUGAUUUCCGUUUCCUGUGACAAUUUGCGUAAGAACUUUGACGGGCUUGCCAACACUUUAUCAAAAAUAUUGGUGUGUGUUUCGUCUGAAAGAACAGUAGGCCUACCGCUUCUUGCUGCGGCGAGACCUUUUGAGC